GGGUUGUGAGGUUAAGCGACUAAGCGUACACGGUGGAUGCCCUGGCAGUCAGAGGCGAUGAAGGACGUGCUAAUCUGCGAUAAGCGUCGGUAAGGUGAUAUGAACCGUUAUAACCGGCGAUUUCCGAAUGGGGAAACCCAGUGUGAUUCGUCACACUAUCAUUAACUGAAUCCAUAGGUUAAUGAGGCGAACCGGGGGAACUGAAACAUCUAAGUACCCCGAGGAAAAGAAAUCAACCGAGAUUCCCCCAGUAGCGGCGAGCGAACGGGGAGGAGCCCAGAGCCUGAAUCAGUGUGUGUGUUAGUGGAAGCGUCUGGAAAGGCGCGCGAUACAGGGUGACAGCCCCGUACACAAAAAUGCACAUGCUGUGAGCUCGAUGAGUAGGGCGGGACACGUGGUAUCCUGUCUGAAUAUGGGGGGACCAUCCUCCAAGGCUAAAUACUCCUGACUGACCGAUAGUGAACCAGUACCGUGAGGGAAAGGCGAAAAGAACCCCGGCGAGGGGAGUGAAAAAGAACCUGAAACCGUGUACGUACAAGCAGUGGGAGCACGCUUAGGCGUGUGACUGCGUACCUUUUGUAUAAUGGGUCAGCGACUUAUAUUCUGUAGCAAGGUUAACCGAAUAGGGGAGCCGAAGGGAAACCGAGUCUUAACUGGGCGUUAAGUUGCAGGGUAUAGACCCGAAACCCGGUGAUCUAGCCAUGGGCAGGUUGAAGGUUGGGUAACACUAACUGGAGGACCGAACCGACUAAUGUUGAAAAAUUAGCGGAUGACUUGUGGCUGGGGGUGAAAGGCCAAUCAAACCGGGAGAUAGCUGGUUCUCCCCGAAAGCUAUUUAGGUAGCGCCUCGUGAAUUCAUCUCCGGGGGUAGAGCACUGUUUCGGCAAGGGGGUCAUCCCGACUUACCAACCCGAUGCAAACUGCGAAUACCGGAGAAUGUUAUCACGGGAGACACACGGCGGGUGCUAACGUCCGUCGUGAAGAGGGAAACAACCCAGACCGCCAGCUAAGGUCCCAAAGUCAUGGUUAAGUGGGAAACGAUGUGGGAAGGCCCAGACAGCCAGGAUGUUGGCUUAGAAGCAGCCAUCAUUUAAAGAAAGCGUAAUAGCUCACUGGUCGAGUCGGCCUGCGCGGAAGAUGUAACGGGGCUAAACCAUGCACCGAAGCUGCGGCAGCGACGCUGAUGCGUUGUUGGGUAGGGGAGCGUUCUGUAAGCCUGCGAAGGUGUGCUGUGAGGCAUGCUGGAGGUAUCAGAAGUGCGAAUGCUGACAUAAGUAACGAUAAAGCGGGUGAAAAGCCCGCUCGCCGGAAGACCAAGGGUUCCUGUCCAACGUUAAUCGGGGCAGGGUGAGUCGACCCCUAAGGCGAGGCCGAAAGGCGUAGUCGAUGGGAAACAGGUUAAUAUUCCUGUACUUGGUGUUACUGCGAAGGGGGGACGGAGAAGGCUAUGUUGGCCGGGCGACGGUUGUCCCGGUUUAAGCGUGUAGGCUGGUUUUCCAGGCAAAUCCGGAAAAUCAAGGCUGAGGCGUGAUGACGAGGCACUACGGUGCUGAAGCAACAAAUGCCCUGCUUCCAGGAAAAGCCUCUAAGCAUCAGGUAACAUCAAAUCGUACCCCAAACCGACACAGGUGGUCAGGUAGAGAAUACCAAGGCGCUUGAGAGAACUCGGGUGAAGGAACUAGGCAAAAUGGUGCCGUAACUUCGGGAGAAGGCACGCUGAUAUGUAGGUGAAGCGACUUGCUCGUGGAGCUGAAAUCAGUCGAAGAUACCAGCUGGCUGCAACUGUUUAUUAAAAACACAGCACUGUGCAAACACGAAAGUGGACGUAUACGGUGUGACGCCUGCCCGGUGCCGGAAGGUUAAUUGAUGGGGUCAGCGCAAGCGAAGCUCUUGAUCGAAGCCCCGGUAAACGGCGGCCGUAACUAUAACGGUCCUAAGGUAGCGAAAUUCCUUGUCGGGUAAGUUCCGACCUGCACGAAUGGCGUAAUGAUGGCCAGGCUGUCUCCACCCGAGACUCAGUGAAAUUGAACUCGCUGUGAAGAUGCAGUGUACCCGCGGCAAGACGGAAAGACCCCGUGAACCUUUACUAUAGCUUGACACUGAACAUUGAGCCUUGAUGUGUAGGAUAGGUGGGAGGCUUUGAAGUGUGGACGCCAGUCUGCAUGGAGCCGACCUUGAAAUACCACCCUUUAAUGUUUGAUGUUCUAACGUUGACCCGUGAUCCGGGUUGCGGACAGUGUCUGGUGGGUAGUUUGACUGGGGCGGUCUCCUCCUAAAGAGUAACGGAGGAGCACGAAGGUUGGCUAAUCCUGGUCGGACAUCAGGAGGUUAGUGCAAUGGCAUAAGCCAGCUUGACUGCGAGCGUGACGGCGCGAGCAGGUGCGAAAGCAGGUCAUAGUGAUCCGGUGGUUCUGAAUGGAAGGGCCAUCGCUCAACGGAUAAAAGGUACUCCGGGGAUAACAGGCUGAUACCGCCCAAGAGUUCAUAUCGACGGCGGUGUUUGGCACCUCGAUGUCGGCUCAUCACAUCCUGGGGCUGAAGUAGGUCCCAAGGGUAUGGCUGUUCGCCAUUUAAAGUGGUACGCGAGCUGGGUUUAGAACGUCGUGAGACAGUUCGGUCCCUAUCUGCCGUGGGCGCUGGAGAAUUGAGGGGGGCUGCUCCUAGUACGAGAGGACCGGAGUGGACGCAUCACUGGUGUUCGGGUUGUCAUGCCAAUGGCACUGCCCGGUAGCUAAAUGCGGAAGAGAUAAGUGCUGAAAGCAUCUAAGCACGAAACUUGCCCCGAGAUGAGUUCUCCCUGACUCCUUGAGAGUCCUGAAGGAACGUUGAAGACGACGACGUUGAUAGGCCGGGUGUGUAAGCGCAGCGAUGCGUUGAGCUAACCGGUACUAAUGAACCGUGAGGCUUAACCUUACAACGCCGAAG
rnacentral:rRNA from 1 species